rnacentral:rRNA from 1 species
AAUGAACGUUGGCGGCGUGGAUUAGGCAUGCAAGUCGUGCGAGAACCGUAGCAAUACGGGGACAGCGGCGAAAGGGAGAGGAACACGUGGGUAUCUACCCCCGGAUUCAGGAUAGUCGUGGGAAACUACGGGUAAUACUGAAUAACGUCUCCGGACCAAAGGUGUGAUUCCGUCCGGGGAGGGGCCCGCGUCCUAUUAGCUAGUUGGUGAGGUAACGGCUCACCAAGGCGAAGAUGGGUACGGGAUGUGAGAGCAUGAUCCCGCUCAUUGGGACUGAGACACUGCCCAGACACCUACGGGUGGCAG